GCUUACUGCCACCCUCCCUGAGCACAGCCCGAUCUCGUCUGAUCUCGGAAGCUAAGCAGGGUCGGGCCCGGUUAGUAAUUGGAUGGGGAACCGCCUGGGAAUACCAGGUGCUGUAAGCC
rnacentral:rRNA from 1 species